GAAUACAUCCACAGAAAAUGAAGAUGGAGUUUAUGAAAGAAUGGGUGAUGAUCAGGUUUAUGAACAAUUAGAUGAACCUGAUCUGCUUGUUGCAAGAGAAAGUGCUGCUGACACUAGUAGUACAACAUAUGAAAAUACUACUACUGAGCCUAUUGUUACAGAGUCUGCUAGUCUUCAUGAAAAAGAAGAUGAUGAAAAUGUAUAUGAACUGACUGAUACUACUUCAUUGUAAUACCCAUCACAUACCCUUAUUUGGUGUGUAUGCUGUGCAGUUUUAUGAAUGUGCAUAUAAUAAAUUUUUAUACAUCAUUAGUUUAGUUUCAUUUAAUUAGGAAUGCAUAUUUAUUUCUAAUGUAGUCUUUAUGGUCUAAUGUAACAAUUUUACCAAUUUUUAAUUUUGUUUACAAUGUGUUACUCAAAAGUUUAAGUU